rnacentral:rRNA from 1 species
GACGUAGGAGGCGAGCGUUGUCCGGAUUCAUUGGGCGUAAAGAGCGCGCAGGCGGCUUGGUAAGUCGGAUGUGAAAACCCCGAGGCUCAACCUCGGGCGUGCAUCCGAAACUGCUCGGCUAGAGGUAGGUAGGGGAGAUCGGAAUUCCUGGUGUAGCGGUGAAAUGCGCAGAUAUCAGGAGGAACACCAAUGGCGAAGGCAGCACUCUGGGACGUGACUGACGGCUAGAGCGAAAAGCGUGGGGGAGCAAAACAGGAU